rnacentral:rRNA from 1 species
UACGUAGGGUGCAGGCGUUUAAUCGGAAUUACUGGGCGUAAAGCGUGCGCAGGCGGUCUAUUAAGACAGGUGUGAAAUCCCCGGGCUUAACCUGGGAACUGCGCUUGUAACUGAUAGGCUUGAGUGUGGCAGAGGGGGGGUGGAAUUCCAGGUGUAGCAGUGAAAUGCGUAGAUAUUGGGAGGAACACCAGUGGCGAAGGCGGCUCACUGGACCGGAACUGACGCUGAGGCGCGAAAGCGUGGGGAGCAAACAGG